rnacentral:rRNA from 1 species
UACGUAGGGGGCAAGCGUUGUCCGGAAUCAUUGGGCGUAAAGCGCGUGUAGGCGGCUCUGUAAGUCAGAAGUGAAAGCCCCGAGCUUAACUUGGGAAGUGCUUUUGAUACUGCAGAGCUUGAGUGUGGGAGAGGAUCGUGGAAUUCCAGGUGUAGUGGUGAAAUACGUAGAUAUCUGGAGGAACACCGGUGGCGAAGGCGGCGAUCUGGCCCAACACUGACACUGAGACCCGAAAGACGUGGGGAUCGAAACAGG